rnacentral:rRNA from 1 species
GACGAGGGGUCCAAGCGUUGUUCGGAAUCAUUGGGCGUAAAGCGGGUGUAGGCGGCUCUAUAAGUCAGGAGUGAAAGCCCCGAGCUUAACUUGGGAAGUGCUUUUGAUACUGCAGAGCUUGAAUGUGGGAGAGGUUAGUGGAAUUCCUGGUGUAGUGGUGAAAUGCGCAGAUAUCAGGAGGAACACCGGUGGCGAAGGCGGUUCUCUGGGCAUGAUCUGACGCUGAGGAGCGAAAGUGUGGGGAGCGAACAGG